rnacentral:rRNA from 1 species
ACGGAAGGCAGCAGUGGGGAAUAUUGCACAAUGGGGGAAACCCUGAUGCAGCAACGCCGCGUGAAGGAAGACGGUUUUCGGAUUGUAAACUUCUUUUCUUAGUGAAGAAACAAUGACGGUAGCCAAGGAGGAAGCCACGGCUAACUACAUGCCAGCAGCCGCGGUAAUACGUAGGUGGCAAGCGUUGUCCGGAAUUACUGGGUGUAAAGGGAGCGCAGGCGGGACAGCAAGUUGGAUGUGAAAUACCGAGGCUUAACCACGGAGCUGCAUCCAAAACUGUUGUUCUUGAGUGAAGUAGAGGCAGGCGGAAUUCCGAGUGUAGCGGUGAAAUGCGUAGAUAUUCGGAGGAACACCAGUGGCGAAGGCGGCCUGCUGGGCUUUAACUGACGCUGAGGCUCGAAAGUGUGGGGAGCAAACAGGAUUAGAUACCCUGGUA